rnacentral:rRNA from 1 species
UACAGAGGGUGCAAGCGUUUGUUCGGAAUUAUUGGGCGUAAAGAGCUCGUAGGCGGUUUGUCGCGUCUGCUGUGAAAACUGGAGGCUCAACCUCCAGCCUGCAGUGGGUACGGGCAGACUAGAGUGCGGUAGGGGAGAUUGGAAUUCCUGGUGUAGCGGUGGAAUGCGCAGAUAUCAGGAGGAACACCGAUGGCGAAGGCAGAUCUCUGGGCCGUAACUGACGCUGAGGAGCGAAAGCAUGGGGGAGCGAACAGGG